rfam:Dipodomys ordii contig_22421, whole genome shotgun sequence.
GGGAAGGUAGCUCAGAGGUAGAGUGCAUGCCUUACAAGCAUGAGGCCCUGGGUUCGAUUCCUCAGCACCA